rnacentral:misc_RNA from 1 species
GUUGAAAGUAGCCAUUGCUGGCAGGUAGUCUUAGCAUCACAUUCAUUCACAUACGUAAAGUGGCCUCGGUUUCUUCUUCCAUUUCAACAGCCACGCCAAUAUUCUUCUUCCUCCUCCCUUCAGGAACCGUUUUCCGACCAACUCGCCGGAAUAUAGAACCUUGAUAACGGAAGCAGUCGGAAAAUGGCGCUCAAAUUCCAUCCUCUCACCUCUCAAUCUCCUAAGUUGCCGUCUUUUGCGAUGCCGCAGCUUGCAAGUCUCAGAUCUCCUAAGUUCGUUAUGGCCUCCACUCUCCGCUCCACCUCCAGAGAAGUUGAGACCCUUAAGAAACCCUUUAUGCCUCCAAGGGAAGUGCAUCUUCAAGUAACUCACUCGAUGCCACCCCAGAAGAUCGAGAUAUUUAGAUCUUUGGAGGAUUGGGCUGAAGAGAACAUUC